UAAGCCAUGUAUGUUCAUGCAAUUGAACAAUUGAUCAUUAAUUUCAAUUUCCAUGUUUGCUUGGGCUGUACUGGAUUGUUGAUCAACUUCAGUGUUUGUGUCUUUGUUGUUGUUGUUUUUGAUUAUCACAUUAUUUGUAUCCUGCUCACAUAUUGAGGGUUUUUUUGGUGCAUUCCCUCCUUUAGCUCGAAUUGUCCCCAAUUCAGAUGCAUCAUAGUAGGGUUUAAGGUCCCCUACUGAGGAUCUAGACCUAGACCCAAACCCGUAAUUAUUUUUUGUGAUCCAAAUUCGACCCGAACCCGAUGAAUCUUUAAAAUGAGAUCCAAGCCUUUUAAAAAGUAAUGGGUUUGGGGUGGGUCUAAUAGGAUUUUGGACCCGUGACCAUCCCUACCUUGAGGCUGAGGCGGACCCACGGUAGGGCCUAUAGGCACGUGCCUCUAUGAGAAUUUCUUAUAAAAAAUUAAUUAAGUCACUGUCUACCGUCUCAACAUUACUCAUUUCAACCCCAAACCUUCUAACCUUGAUCACUUUACUCAUUCAGUCAUUCUCCCCAACUUUAUUCAUUCUUACUGAAUCUGCCCAACUUUAAUCCUUCUCCCCAACUUCAUUCAUCAAAAACUUGUGCUUUCAACAAUGGUGAAGAUAAUAUUGUUAAAAUAAAUUAUACUUUACUCAUCAAAAACUUUAUUCAUUCUCCCCAAGUUUUUACUCAUUUAAACCCUAAACCUGCCGACUGUCGUUUGUAUAGGCUGCCACUUGCCGCCUGCCACCUGCCUCCUAGAGUUCGCCGCGUAAUAGUCACCUUCAGAAUUGGCCGAAUAUGAUGCUUUCGAUCCAUCUUACGGGGUGUCAAAAGUCUUUAUCAGCCUUAAGUUUGAUCCAUCUUACGGGGUGUCAAAAGUCUUUAUCAGCCUUAAGUUUUCUCCAAACUUUUGGUUCCUAAUUCUAUCCAUUAUAGUGUUACCGCAUGUUCAUCUAUUUUAGGUUUAAAAGCUUCUUUACGGGCCAAUAUUGGGUCUUAUGUUGAAAACUUCUGGUUCUUUUAUGAGCCUUAGAUUUCUUAUGAGGCUCUUUCCGCUUUAUUUUUGAAGGAGGUGGAAUGGAUUUCCUUUUCUCCAGCAAAACUCGCGCCUUCUCAUUGGAAGGCGAGUCUUCUAACCCCUCGGUCACUUUCCUCGAAUUUUGUAAAAGAAGAUUGUUAGAAAAUUUCGAGAAAUCAAAAUAAACUUAAAAUAAACAUUAAAGUAACAAACCUUACGAAGGGUUGGAUGCGAUUUAUCAGAAGUGACCCUCUUGUCCGCAGUAUGGGCCAUUCGCAUAAUGUUGAUCUUCUUCAUUAAGUCGGAGUGUUUUUCCCUUAAUUGUUCCUUGGCAAUUCCUAUAAAAUCACAGAUUAUGGUUCGACAAUGAUAUGAUAUUUCGGGAAAAUGAGGUAAUAAAUGACUUACGCUUAUCAAUCUUUAGAUCGAUUUUGAAUGCUGAGAGAAGAAACACGUUGGUUAGAGUCUUUGUUGGUAUCCAAUUGAGUUGGACGUUAACUGGUUUCCUUUCAAGUUGAAUGUCUAUCCUAGCAUACUCUAUCAAUAUCGUCUCUUCUAAUGUGCAUUACGGGGUAUUAAUAUUAUUAUUAAACUUCUUUUAACUCAAAAACAAGAUCAAAAGAAGUCUUAAUGUUCAAAUUGCAAACUUGGUCCUACAUUAAAUCAACAUUGAUGCACGGCAGCCCCAAGCAUUGGUAUACCCUACAUUAAACCACCACAAUGAAAAUGGGGAAAAAUAUUCAAAGUUUUAGAGGACUUCCAUAUUACGUGUGGUCCGAAUUAAGUGAAAGUCAGACCCUCCUUUCAAGUCCAAACAGGUGAAAUUAAUGCUAAUUUAUUCAAGUAUGAGAAUGCACAAGAUAUGGGAUUUGCGGAACAUCGAAAUGUCGCACCCCUCUUUUGGUCCCAAGAUGAAAAAUGAGGAAAAAUAUUCUAAGUAAUUGGAGAUUUGUGUAACAUCUAUGGUCCAUGACUUAUAACAUUCAUACCCUAUUCUUAGCUCAAGGGUAGAAAUUAGGGAUAAUCUUUUUAAGUGCUGAAAAUAUCCAAGUCAUCUUAUGUCUGUGUUAUUUGAAAGUUGGCCCCUUAUCCGGGACUCACCAAGUCAAACAAGUCGCAUAUGUCCAUAUUAUGGAAGAUGCAGACCAAACAUAAGUUGAUCCGAGCUAUCAAAGACUCAAUUUGUACCAUUGAAUCCGGGGUGUAUGAAAUUUGGAACUAAUUUUAGGUCCAGUUAAUGCAAAAAAGCUGAAGUCAUGCGAGACAUAGGAUGCGACCUGUUAUCUACAAGUUAGACCUCGUUUAGGGGAUUUAACUAGUUUGUCUUCCAUGACCAUCCGAAACAUAUGAUCCAGUCAGCAUUCAUAUUAUAGAAAAUGAUCCAUAGGAUCUGAAAGCCGGACCCUCUUUCUGAUUUUUUAGUUUUUACAUCGUAUACUGUAUCAAUCCUUAGCAGGUAUUAUUUCCACAUAAAUAAAAGAUGUUUUAAGUUAAUUGGGUAUUUUUUCCACAUCAUCUUUCCUGCCAGGGCUAAAUGUUAUAAGUAACAUUUAUUUAUUUAUUAUUUAUAGUAAAAAUAACUAAAAUACCUCGUUAUCCUAAUCCUUAUCAGCUGCUACGUGGACUCAAUAAUCUGUCAAUCGUAACUUAUUCCUCAAGUAAUCUCAAUAAAACGCUAGAUCCAUUAUGGCGGGCCAACCUGGACCAAUACCCCUAUGAUGUCCAUUACUCCUUAUGUUAAAUUACCAAUUUAACCCGUUAGCUUUCCCUAUAAAUACUUCAUAGUAGCUCAUUUUACCCUAAGGAUACAUUUACCCAUUGUUACUCUUCCAAGAUAUACAACCAAUCUACAUAUUACAAUUAAUCAAAUACAUAAUCAAUUCCCUAGAAUUCAUCCUACAAUCCAUAAAUCUUGUUCUUAUUCAGUCAUCAUUCACUUCUUAAUUUCUCUUUCCCGAUCUGACUUGAGCGUGGGAAGAGCUUUCGGGGAAACCACCCGGGGAAGACUAACGUUGUAUUGCAAGGUUUGAAGUCUUUUCUCACGCAAGAUUUAAGCACUUCUAAUAUACCAACAAUCAUUCUAUAUAAUUCUUCUUAUUUAGGUAUUUUAAGUGUCUUUUGCACGCCCUAGUUUCAUCACUGAAAACAUAUUCCUAAUAUAUAGAACCACUCCUUUGACUACUAUUAAGUUACAAUUCUUUUAGUGGGAGUGUCACAAUGGGAAACUGUUAUCCAAAUGAUAGGUUCUAUAAGUCCAAGCAUAGGAAAAUGUUCCUCUUGAUCCACUUAAAAUUUUAAAUACUCCUCCAAAAUGGAGUUCAAUUAUACACCAUUGCACUACCUUAAAAAUUUUCUGCUGGGCUUUCUUAUUUGAUUCUAAGCAUACUUGUCAUUUUUUUUGGGUGUUCCUCAAUUAAAGUGGAAGCAUACCCCUUGCUCUUGUUUUAGCUAAAACAAAAAACAAUUGAAAUAGCGAUGGCAAAAUGGCGAGGGGAGAGGUUGGUCGCCACGAAUAGGCGAGGGAAAGAUUAGUCGCCAACUAAGAAAGAGAUUUGGCGACGAGGGAAUUGGUCGCUACUCAGUCGCCAAGGACAGUUUUUAUUUUAUUUUAUUUUAAAUACUUGGCGACGGGGUUUUUGGUCGCCAUGUUGUCGUAGAAACGACAGUAUUUUUAUUUUUUUUUAAAUACUCUGACGGGCUGCUGUGGUCGCCAUUUGAUCGCCAAAGGACAGUAUUUUCCUUUUAUUUUUAUUUUAAUUGUUGGCAACGAGGUCCGUGAUCGCCAUAUCGUCGCUUUCUUUUUUGUUUUAAUUUUUUUUUAAAUAUAAGCAAGCGACGGACAGAUUGGAAGCUCUUUGGUCGCCACUUGUUUGAAUUUGAAAAAUGGCGAUGGGUUUGUAAUCGCCGUGUUGUCGCCAUGUUUUGUAUAAAUAAGGCGCAUAAUUGUUAUGCGUUGUAUAUUUCGGAAAUUAAAAAAUUAGAAGUGGUUAGUGAUUUUCUUAUCA